AUAGAUUUCCUGAAUUAAUCGGUCGCACUAUCCCCAAGCUUGAUAGUGACAUAAUCCACGAUCGCGCAAUAGCAGAACUUUGUGCAGACCUCGCGGGAAUCGUGCUAAAUAAACAAAUCUGUCGCGAUUAAUUACCAUCUGGAUAACGCCUGGCCAGAUGUUAUCGGCGUGAAUCCGGGCGAACAUUUGCGCGGAUACGGUAACUUACGCAAGAUUUUCGACAUUACCUCAAGUUUAGUCAACCUUGAUGUUACAUACGCUCGCUCGCGUGCACAUUGCGUAGAUGUUAAACGGCCGAUUAUGUAACGAUUAAGUCCAGCGUUAGUCAGCAGCCACGUAAGCCCCUAAUCGCCUCGGCUUGCAAAUUACAAAAUCGACAGCGCUAAAUUGAGGCGUAAUUUCAAUAACAGCAAAAGCAACAAUAACAAAAUGAUUUGACGUUAAUACAGAGAGUCGACGAGAAGAUAAUUCGGAGAGCAAGACUCGUAAAAUUCGGAGGAGCACAUCAAGACUUACACGUAAUCGCUUAGCCGCUUAUGUAACGAGUACGGCUAAGCUCGUGUAUAUGCGAAGCUUCGUGGUUCGCGGCGUAUUUCGCGGCCCACCUCGGCGAGAAAUCAAGAUGACACAAUAUGUGUACCGUUUCAGUCUUUCGUAAAAGAUUUCACAAAGCAAGCGAAUCGUUUGCGUCCCGAUAUGAAUGUAAACGCGAAUAUUUUUCAGGUGAUUCGUCGAAGUUGCGUAACAAAAUUCUACUGUUCACCGAGUAAGAUAUAUUCGACAUAUAUCGAUAUGUUACUGACCGCGGUCGUAUCCGGUUAGGGACACGUAUAAACUUCACAUGCAGUGUGAAGUUUAAAAUGUCACUCGAAACAUCUGUAAACUAUAAAUGUAAAAUUUUAAGAAUAACUGUCAAGUAUAAAUAACAAAUUUGUAAUCAAAGUAUCAAUAUAUGUGGAAAAUACAAUUGAAUAAAAAUUAAUUAACUGCAAAA